rnacentral:tRNA from 1 species
UAGAGUAUGGUCAAUGCUGGUAUUCGUACAAACCUUUUGUAAAGGUAUAAGAUCGUGGGUUCGAUUCCCACUACUCUAG